rnacentral:lncRNA from 10 species
CUCUGUAGCUUGUGGGUUUAGCUGCAUUUUGAAAAAGAUAACUGUGUCUCCCUUAGCAUCUUCCUUUUUCCUAUUUUUUCUUGUAAGUUUACAAAGGUCAGAUGCCAGUAUGAUCUAGAAUAAGAGGUUUUGUGGCUGACUUUGAAAGGUUACUUUAGAGAAAAAUCUCAUGAAGCAGCAGUACUCCAAAGUGCUGCGGGGAAUGUGGCUAAAAUCUUGUUACAUCCUAAUGGAGCUUCUAACACAUUAGACAUAUAGAGCAUCAGAUUCCAGAAUGUGUCUGAGGGAUUUAGUCUCUAGUUACUAAAAGGAAACGAAGAGGCAUCUCAAGGUUAGAGUUACACUGACGAGGUCAUGUUCAUGGGACAUCAAAGCAACGUGGAAAUCAAUUCUAUCAUCAUAGCAAAGCCUGAAGUGCCUGUUUAAUGAUUAAUUAGAAUAAUAAUUGAAAUGCAACAUAAUUAUGAUAAACAAGGAAAUGCCAGAGGCUUCUUUUCUCUAUGGACUACAAUACCAUAGUGAAUUGGGCCUUUCAAAAUCCAGAAACUUUUUAUUGGCUGUUUGUUUCACGAAAGCAGAAAUACUCCAGGAUGUGUUUUCAGUAAUUAAGGUAAUCUUUAUAAUACAUAUUUUACUUUAGCCCAGCUGACUAUCCAAAUGAGUGAGUGUUUGGUGACUAAUGUAAAUAUCUGUAUGAACCAAUUCCAGAUAUUUUAGCUGUGAAUGACUCCAUGAUAAUUAUAAUAGAAGCAAAAUGAGUGUUCCUCAUUUUAAUGUGACCUAAUAACACCAUAUCAUUUAAGACAAUAUUUAUUUUUUAGUAUAAUAUGAACUGGUCCUAAUUCUGAGGUAUGCUCAUACCUUAGAGUAUCAACACUAGAGAGUUAUUACAAUUAAUGACUGGCUUUCUAUUGUGUUACAGCCAGUUAAAUUUUUUUUUUCAAAAUUCUCUUCUGCAAGUCAUUUCUGAGGUCUUCUUGCAAACCAUUUGCACAGUCAUAACAUCUAUACAAGUAUUUGCUUAUUACCUUGGCCAGAAAAAUCUCUUUUCAAGGCUGCUUCACAGGGUUUCUUGAGUAUGCAUGAGUCAACACACAUGUUCAUAGAGGAGAAGAUUGUGCUGAUUUGCUCUACACCAACGUUCUGUUAAAGGUGGAACCAAGUCACUUCUGUCACUGAUCAGAGCACCGCUUAUAACCAAAUAAAAUAAAAAUAAAAAAUUUAAAAUACUUAGCCUAGACCUGACUGCAAUAUCUAACAAAACUUUCCUGGAGGCUUAAGUAUUAAG